AUGGGUGCGCGGAAAUCUUGAAAUAGCAGGGUAGCUGCUUGACCAUUGCUGCUGUCACCACUUGAUUUUGUGAGGUGACUGUUGCCAUUGUUGUGGCAGAAAUGGCUGCCACCAUAGACAUGAUGACAGCAAUAAGGGCAGAAAUUUCAAAAUUUUUCUUACUGUGGGAUGAAGCAUACGAUUAAAGAGAUGAUCUGAACUUUUCAUUCCAAAGGGAGAUCAACGGGGACCCAAACGGCCCAGGGUGUUCUAGCAAAAUAUAAACUCCCAAGUUUCUGUACGAUUAAACAAAGAAGGAUCGAUAAAAGCGGUAAAACAAACACAAAAGGGGAAGGCAGAACAAGAAAAGAGAUGGGGGGGUUAGGUACUUGAUUUGCCCAGGACGAAGUAGAGAUGGAAGGCUUUGUGGCAAGAAGGUUGUUCCUGAGCGGACAGCGCCAGUAGCCACAGGCCGGGGAACAACCAGCCCCUGUGGCCACAUGCGGGGGACAGCGCAGCCCCCGUCUAGCCGGCCUUGCCCCGUACUCGCAACCCUCUCCCCGCUGGGCCCUAACGCGUCCUGGGGAGUGGGGCCCCGCAAGCAGCUGGGGUGACAGGAUCCACAGUGGGAGGCAGGCACAGUGGAGGCCAGGGAAGACAAAAGGACCUUCGGCCGCAGACCAGGCUCCCCUCCCACCUCCGGGCAGCAGGCCCCAGGGACCCGAAGCUGCAGGUCUUUUGCUCUGAAACUUUUCCGGAGCUCUCAGCUAUGCCAGAUCGGGCUUUGGAGGAGGAGUCUGGGCAGUGUGGAGGCCCAGGACCCCGAAGCCAUGCUAAGGCAGGAUCGAAAGGAUUGUUUCUCCUCAUCCGGCAAGAUGGCGGCGCACAUGGUGGAGGCAGCCAUCUUGGAUCGGAAAAGAUGACAAUGAAGAAAAGGUCCAAAGGGGAAGGGGAAGUGCGAGGCACAGGGGAAAUGAAAGAAGGCAAAGGAAUAAAUAUGAGAAAAGAAAAAAAAUGAAAACAAAGUCUUCUGUAAAUAGGGUUACAGGGGGGAAUGGGGAAAAAAAUAGGCACCAAGAUAUAUCAUGUAAAGGUACAAAUUCCCAGUGAUGAAGUCAUCAUAUUGUAUACCUAAAAUGUACCAAUAAACUUACCAAAUAAAAGGGGCUGGGGAUUUAGCUCACUCUGCACCUGCCUUGCAAGCACAAUGUCCUGAGUUGAGUUAGAUCCCUGGUACAGCAAAAUGAACAAAACAAGACCAAAACAAAAAAAAACCUUAAUGAAUUAAAAAAAAAGAAAAGUAAGACAAUGCAGUCUAGUGUUUAAAAUGUAUGUAAAAUGUAUGACAACAGUAGCAGGAAGGAUAAGAGAGAAGCAGAAGUAUAUGGUAUGCGAUAGCCAGCUUCUAAGAUGCCCCCCA
rnacentral:lncRNA from 1 species